AGUGCAAGUGCUAAGUUGUAUGAUUAGUACAUGUAAAAUCUUAUAUGAGAAAUUGACAAAUUAUUUUCUAGAGUAACUGUAUCAUCUUAUAUUCUAAUGAGCAUA
rnacentral:pre_miRNA from 1 species